CGAGGCUCUGACUCUCCGUGUUCACAGCGGACCUUGAUUUAAUGUCAUACAAUUAAGGCACGCGGUGAAUGCCAAGAGCGGAGCCUGAAGC
ensembl:miRNA